UAUGUGCUGUGUGUGUCCAUGAGCCUGGGCAGAUGUGUGAGUGUGCCUGUGCCUCAUCUCUGUCUGUAUGAGCACACACACGCCUGUCUACCGUGUGUGUGACCUACGGAAUGACACAGACCCCUGGGGACAGUGGUGGCAAGGAUGCUGUUAUGUGUGCACCUGCUUGGAAGCAGGUCCGUCACUUCAGUACAGAAAUGCUUUUCUUCUGGUUUGCUGCUCUUUCCCCUGUCAGCAACAUGCACCAAAAUGUUGAAAACCUGAAAGACAAGUAAAAGAUCUGUAAUAUUUCUCCUUCCUGCCUGCCUCUCCACCGUCUUCGUAUACACAGCUGCCUUCAACCUGUGUCCAUGCAGGUCAAUUCCCAGUUCAUGAUGUCCUUUUAGCGAAUGGAAUGGUCCGGGUACUUGUGACAAAAUAUUGCACGAUGAAGUCUUUCCAUUGGAAUAAUUGACUGUAUUUCAUUUUGGUCCUUAAAAUAUAUAAACUUUGCCCAUCAAAUUUUGAGUUGGAGAAAAUUCGUUGAGGAGGCUAUUGUCAUCUAAAGACUCGUUGUCUGGAGUUUCCCUCAUACUAUCAAAUUCGUCAUUGUCCUUGGAGCCCAAGUCUGGCCGCCUCUGCCUUCUGAUUCAUUGAAGGAUUGUGAAACAUCUUCCUUUAUUUUUUCCUCUUUGCCAUGAUAAAUGGAAAGCAAAGGAAUUCUCUGUCUUCUACUAUGUUUGAUGCAAGCUACAAAGAUGGUGUGUCCAUUCUUCUCUUACUCCUUCCUAAAGAUGAUGCCAUACUUUUGGCAAUGCAAUGGGAAAGCCUUGAAUGAUGCAGUUGUGUUGAUGUAUCUCAUUAUUGCAUUAUCCUCUGAAUCCAGGUCA